UACGGGGGGGGCAAGCGUUGUUCGGAAUUACUGGGCGUAAAGGGCUCGUAGGCGGCCAACUAAGUCGGAUGUGAAAUCCCCAGGCUCAACCUGGGAACUGCAUCCGAUACUGGAUGGCUUGAAUUCGGGAGAGGGAUGCAGAAUUCCAGGUGUAGCGGUGAAAUGCGUAGAUAUCUGGAGGAAUACCGGUGGCGAAGGCGGCAUCCUGGACCAAUUCUGACGCUGAGUGAGCGAAAGCCAGGGGAGCAAACGGG
rnacentral:rRNA from 1 species